CCUACGGGUGGCAGCAGUGGGGAAUAUUGGGCAAUGGGCGCAAGCCUGACCCAGCAACGCCGCGUGAAGGAAGAAGGCUUUCGGGUUGUAAACUUCUUUUCUCAGGGACGAAGCAAGUGACGGUACCUGAGGAAUAAGCCACGGCUAACUACGUGCCAGCAGCCGCGGGAAUACGUAGGUGGCAAGCGUUAUCCGGAUUUACUGGGUGUAAGGGGCGUGUAGGCGGGACUGGAAGUCGGAGGUGAAAGCCACGGGCUCAAGAUGUGGCCUGCAUUUGAAACUGUAGUUCUGGAGUACUGGAGAGGCAGACGGAAUUCCUAGUGUAGCGGUGAAAUGCGUAGAUAUUAGGAGGAACACCAGUGGCGAAGGCGGUCUGCUGGACAGCAACUGACGCUGAGGCGCGAAAGCGUGGGGAGCAAACAGGAUUAGAUACCCUUGUAGUC
rnacentral:rRNA from 1 species